rnacentral:rRNA from 1 species
UACGUAGGGUGCGAGCGUUGUCCGGAAUUAUUGGGCGUAAAGAGCUCGUAGGCGGUCUGUCGCGUCGAUCGUGAAAACUUGGGGCUUAACCCUGAGCUUGCGGUCGAUACGGGCAUGACUGGAGUUCGGCAGGGGAGACUGGAAUUCCUGGUGUAGCGGUGAAAUGCGUAGAUAUCUGGAGGAACACCGGUGGCGAAGGCGGCAUCCUGGACCAACACUGACGCUGAGGAGCGAAAGCCAGGGGAGCAAACGGG